rnacentral:rRNA from 1 species
GGGGUUCGAUUAUGGCUCAGAUUGAACGCUGGCGGGAUGCUUUACACAUGCAAGUCGAACGGCAGCACGGACUUCGGUCUGGUGGCGAGUGGCGAACGGGUGAGUAAUGUAUCGGAACGUGCCUAGUAGCGGGGAUAACUACGCGAAAGCGUAGCUAAUACCGCAUACGCCCUUCGGGGAAAGCGGGACCUUCGGGCCUCGCACUAUUAGAGCGGCCGAUAUCGGAUUAGCUAGUUGGUGGGGUAACGGCUCACUGGUUAGCGACGAUCCGUAGCUGGUUUGAGAGGACGACCAGCCACACUGGGACUGAGACACGGCCUAGACUCUACGGGAGGCAAAGAGCAGGGGAAUUUUGGACAAUGGGGGAAACCCUGAUCCAGCCAUCCCGCGUGUGCGAUGAAGGCCUUCGGGUUGUAAAGCACUUUGGCAGAUGGGCACGGAUAACACCUCCUGUGCAACUGAUUGUACCUGCAGAAGGGCACCGCUAACUACGGCAAGCAAAGCUGCGGCACACGAAAGGCACCGAAUAAUGGGUGGCGCGGCGCAGGCGGUUCGGAGAGAGAUGAAAUCCCAGAGCUUAACUUUGAACCGCAUUUAACUACCGAGCUAGAGUGUGUCAGGAGGGAGGUGGAAUUCCGCGUGUAGCAGUGAAAUGCGUAGAUAUGCGGAGGAACACCGAUGGCGAAGGCAGCCUCCUGGGAUAACACUGACGCUCAUGCACGAAAGCGUGGGGAGCAAACAGAUUAGAUACCCUGGUAGUCCACGCCCUAAACGAUGUCAACUAGCUGUUGGGGCCUUCGGGCCUGCGGUAGCGCAGCUAACGCGUGAAGCGGACCUUCGCCGGGGAGCACACGAUUAAACCGUGAAUGAUGGGAUCACGGAGAUGUGGACGAAUUUUGAGUGCAAAGGCGAAAAACUUUACUCUACUCUUGAUAUGGCUCAAUCCCCUUAAGAGAUUGAGUCAAGAGAACUGAACACAGUGCUGGCAUGGCUGUCGUCAGCUCGUACUGGAUGUUGGGCUGUCCGGCAACGAGCGCAACCUAUUGUUGAAGGCGCAGCAGGGCGGUGAAUUCUUCGUGAUGAUUGCCGGUGACAAACCGAGGAAGGUGGGGAUGACGUCAAGUCCUCAUGGCCCUUAUGGGUAGGGCUUCACACGUCAUACAAUGGUCGGGACAGAGGGUCGCCAACCCGCGAGGGGGAGCCAACUUGCAGAAACCCGAUCGUAGUCCGGACGUAUCUGCACCCACCGCGAAAGCUCAACCGAAGUAGUGAAUUUUCAAAGAGAUUCGGCAUGUUGCAGUAGUUAUUGCUCCUGGCUCGAAGACACCGCUCGUCACACCAUGGGAGUGGGUUUUACCAGAAGUAGCCGCCCAACUUGUAAGGAGGGCGAUUACCACGGUAGGAUUCAUGAUCAGUGAAGUCGGUAAUGGCACUGCUGAUACCUGAUGCCCC